UCCGCCGGCCGCCGAGCUCCGGGCCCGGGAGGCGGCGGCGGCGGCGGCGGCGGAGGAAGUUCCCGCUUCGCCUCCACCCCGGUAGCAGCUUCGCGGCCGGGGACAGCUUCCUCCGACGCCCCGCGGGCUUUGCUGCCGCCGCACGCCUGUCCCGGGACCAUGGGGCUGCCCAGGGGGCCGGAGGGCCAGGGCGUCCCGGAGGUAGAAACAAGAGAAGAUGAAGAACAAAAUGUCAAGCUAACUGAAAUUCUGGAGCUUUUGGUGGCGGCUGGGUAUUUCAGGGCAAGAAUUAAAGGUUUAUCACCUUUUGACAAGGUAGUAGGAGGAAUGACUUGGUGCAUUACCACUUGCAGCUUUGACAUAGACGUUGAUUUGCUCUUUCAGGAAAACUCUACAAUAGGACAAAAAAUAGCGCUAUCAGAAAAGAUCGUGUCAGUCCUGCCAAGGAUGAAGUGUCCACACCAGCUGGAGCCCCACCAGAUCCAGGGCAUGGAUUUUAUUCAUAUAUUUCCUGUUGUUCAGUGGCUGGUGAAGCGAGCUAUAGAAACAAAGGAAGAGAUGGGCGACUACAUCCGCUCCUAUUCCAUAUCCCAGUUCCAGAAAACCUACAGUCUCCCUGAGGAUGAUGACUUCAUAAAGAGGAAAGAAAAGGCCAUCAAGACAGUCGUUGAUCUUUCAGAUGUCUACAAGCCCCGUCGGAAAUACAAACGCCAACAGGGAGCAGAAGAGCUGCUUGAUGAAGAAUCUCGAGUCCAUGCAACGCUUUUGGAAUAUGGCAGGGUAAUUGAUUCCUUGAUGAGAUAUGGAUUUAGCCGCCAGAACAAAACAGAGAAGGCCGAGGACAAGAAGACAGCACUUCCCACAGGACUCUCAGCUUCGGAAAAAGCUGAUGCCCAUGAGGAGGAUGAGCUUCAAGCUGCUGAAGAGCAGCGUAUUCAGUCACUGAUGACCAAGAUGACCGCCAUGGUGAAUGAAGAGAGCCGCCUCACCGCCAGCUCCGUGGGCCAGAUCGUGGGACUCUGCUCUGCUGAGAUCAAGCAGAUUGUGUCCGAGUAUGCAGAGAAGCAGUCUGAGCUGUCAGCCGAAGAAAGUCCAGAAAAAUUAGGAACCUCCCAACUACAUCGUCGAAAAGUCAUCUCCUUGAACAAACAGAUUCUGCAGAAGACCAAACAUCUGGAAGAGCUGCAGGCAAGUCAUACCAGCCUACAAGCCAGAUACGAUGAAACAAAGCAAACUCUGACAGAGCUGAAGAGUUACAGUGAGAAACUGGACAAAGAACAAGCAGCCCUGGAGAAGAUAGAAUCCAAAGCUGAUCCAAGUAUCCUGCAGAACUUGAGAGCACUCGUAGCCAUGAAUGAAAAUCUGAAAAGUCAGGAACAAGAGUUUAAAGCACAUUGUCGAGAGGAGAUGACACGGCUGCAACAGGAAAUUGAGAACCUGAAAGCUGAGAGAGUGCCAGGCGGAGAUGAAAAGACCCUGUCUGCUGGAGAGCCACAUGGUACCCUAACCCCUGUGAUGACUCAUAAUGAAGACCUAGACAGACGGUAUACCAUGGAGAAAGAAAAACUUUACAAGAUCCGUUUACUACAGGCUCGAAGAAAUCGAGAAAUAGCAAUUUUGCAUCGAAAGAUUGAUGAAGUACCCAGCCGAGCUGAGCUAAUACAGUAUCAGAAGAGAUUUAUUGAACUCUACCGCCAGAUUUCAGCAGUGCACAAAGAAACCAAGCAGUUCUUCACUUUAUAUAAUACUCUGGAUGAUAAAAAGGUUUAUUUGGAAAAAGAGAUUAGCUUGCUGAACUCAAUUCAUGAGAACUUCUCACAAGCCAUGGCCUCCCCUACUGCCCGGGACCAGUUUUUACGUCAGAUGGAACAGAUUGUAGAAGGAAUUAAGCAGAGCAGAAUGAAGAUGGAAAAGAAGAAGCAAGAGAACAAAAUGAGAAGAGAUCAGUUGAACGACCAGUACUUGGAACUGUUAGAAAAACAGAGGCUGUACUUUAAGACUGUGAAGGAGUUCAAGGAGGAACAAUUAACUGCCUCCCCUUCCAGAAACAUGUGCUCAAGAAGUGUCAGAGUACCUUGCUACUGACAAUAAUUCAACCAUACCCCCAGCCCAGAGCCUAGCUAUUCUCCGGCUCUGAGGAGAAGGAUAAGUACCUACAGGAGGGCCGCAAGAAUGAGGUGCUGCUGUCCAAGGUGAAAGCCAAGGCCUCCUGAAAAUUCCUAGACAUCAGCGUAUGUCAUUGAUUUUUUUUUUUUAACACCAUAUAGCAACCCCAAGAUGGAGAGAGAUGGUUCUGAACACUACACUACAGUAAAGACGCAAGUGUCAUAAUCUCAACACCUGGAUAUUUUCUUUCUCCCAUCUGCUUCCAUUUCAUCUCUCUGUUGUUGACGGAAUCAGGUGGUGUAAACAUGAUGGCUUGGAUAACACCUGUUCUCCUGUGAAGAAACACAAGCAGUUUUUAUUCUGUAUCAGUUCAACUUUUAUUUCUCCAGUAACAUCACACAUAUGAAGGUACCUGUAUUUGUAUGGACUCUCUGAAUAAAAAGGAAUUCAUUUGUUUAGCAGAUGUUAAUUGAGCAACCAGUGAGAAGUAAGCACUGAGGGAAACAGAGGUAUUAAACCCAGGCCCUGCAUCUCAGGCAUCCAGCAGGUGGCCCGGGGAGCAGAAACAGCCCACUUGACCUCAGAGCUUGGUCGCCUGAGAUAGAUAGAUAGAUAGAUAGAUAGAUAGAUAGAUAGAUAGAUAGAUAGAUAGAUGUUAGGUUUUUUUUUUAAGUAAACAAAGGCUUUUAGCUGAAUGACCAGCCCAUGUGAGUGUUGGUCACGUGGGCCCUUCACUCACCCUUGGUGCCUUUUGUUCCUUCCUUGAGAUGCCAGCCAGCAACAAGCAUGAAAGCUCAGUGGCUGCCGUUGUUUUAAUUCUUACACACUACUCGAGUUUCUUUCACCAAAAAUUGAAAACAGGGGCCUCAUAUUGAGGACACCACCCCAAAUGACCCCUUAAUAUGCCCUCCUUCUCAAUAAGUCCCAGCCAAACGUGGGUGGUCUUGUGCAUCCCUCCUCAUUAUGAGCACACCCUUGUGCUCCACAUUCCGGACAGGUCAUAGACUAAGUGCAGACACAAGACACACACCAGUCAGUGAGGUCCAGGGCAGUAUGUGGUAAAUGCCAGAGCAACUGGCCAUGAGCAGGAACCAGAGGACAUUGGAGGAAGAAGAGCAGGGAGGUGUGCAGAAACCCAGGAUACUUCGUGGGGGAGGUAGGAUUGCAAAUGAACGGGGAGUUGCAUUUUAAUAAACAGAGAUGGGGGGAAGGCCCCUUUGGAUAAAGUACGACUGUAAUAAAAAAAAAAAAAAGUACGACUGUAAUUAGAAACUGAAAAGCGCACAGGGAGAGUACCAGCAUGCUUGUUGGGAAAGGAGAGGUCAGGCCUGUCUCUGCAGUAAAGGCAGACUGGAGGCCUCAGGAAAUGAGCAGUCCAAACCAGACAUGGAGCGCCUCCUGCCCUGGCAGCCCAGGAUCUGGCAACACAGCCAGGUUCAGUUAACCCCAGUGUGACGUUUGUGCUUCGUUCUGUGUAAACCUCACACACAGACUGCUCAGCAACCUCAGACCAUGAAACGUAAAAGCUGAUGCAUGUCAGGCAAAUAAGGGCAUUUGGUACAGUCAUGGGAACAUCAUGCUCACUUUUAGCUCUCUAAUGUGUGCAUUAAGUAAAUCCGACAUGGGCACACCUAAAAAAAUCUCAUGCCAGAUUACCAACAGCCAUUGGUUUCUGUGCCCGGGAGCGAGGCCGGUCUGCUGAGCAUGGCUGCCCCCAGAGCGGAGAGGAAGCAGCAGUGUUUGAAGUGGUGCUCCCCGUGUGCUCAGCGUGCCCCUCCUGGGCCAGGUACAUCUCCCUCAGCGGCUCCCAUGGCCACGGUCAUCUGCAGACUGAUUUUUGAAAGGGGCCGGGGAAGUUGAAGCUAGUGCUUGCUAGAAAGCAGGUGGCACUCUGAGGGCAAGGGAGGGGACAGCAGUGUAACUACAGAAUCUUCCAGGUUCAGGGAAACAUCGAUGUUUUCUUGUUGAGAAACUCUUAGACCCCACUCCCUAGCAACGUUUUGAGUGGUUAUGAAAUUGUCUAUUUGUCCAAAGGCGGUAGGGAGGAGGAGUGGGUUAGAUUCUGGGGCUCCAUAGCCUGCCUCUCUUCUAUCAGGGAAAGUAUGCCAUGACUAAUCCAAAGCAACUACUUAAUAACCCUUUUUAAAAGUGAGGGCAUCUAUUGGGCUAUGUGUCCAAAGUAUUUCAUUUGAUUUGGUUUUGGUAUAGGAGUUAUCAGAAGAUCUCUUUUCCCCUUAUAAUCCACAAAGCCUAAUACAGAUAAGAAAUUCAUUCCUAUUCCUUGGACACAUCUUAAAUUAGACUGCCGGAGGCAGUUUUGAGAACUGCAUGUUUGCCACAGAUGACCUCCAGCGUGGAUGGUGCCUUUGUAAGUAAUUAGGACAGCAAGCGUGCCUUAUAGUCAGGCCUUACAGGCUGAAGUGAUGCCCCAAGGGCCCCCUUCAUUUCAGAAGCCACUCAGGAGAGUUCCUCCCAGGACAUCUUGUGUGCCCAGAGUAUGGCUGGGUAUUGGGCUAAGUGCAGAGACUUUUCUGGAUUAAAAAAAAAAAAAUGCUUAAGUUACUUUUAUGAAAUGUGUGCUUCCAGAGGAAUGAGGUUUCCCCGGGAAGCCUUUAGCUGCCCCCUUCUGUCAGAGCCGUGAGCUUGCUAACAUGGCAGCCUUCCCGGGGCUGGCCACCCAGGACCCUAGCACUCUCUGCCAGCAUCUGCGUCGAGCACCACCUCCCUACACGCGUCUCAUGGCGUACCUGGGGCAGCCUUGAUCUAAACCAAAAUCAGAGCUGCUGAGCAGUACAGACUAGAGGACCACAAGGUGUCUAGGAAGACAUUUGGAUGUAUUUCUUCUUGUCCUUGCCCUGGAUUCGGUCUCAUGGGUCCCUGGGGUCAGCUCAUUGUACUAGAGUGAGAUGCCAAACGUUAGAGAACACUGCCAAGAUGAGAUGUUGGAUUGAGUUUCCUUUUUGAACAGAGAGGGCAGAUUGCAGGUUUGUCAGGCCUGAGUUCUUGUUAGAGUCUCAUGUGUAUGGUUUUCACUGGGUUCGGUCCAUUGCCCAUAUUCUGUGGGUAGCCACGCCCUGCCGGUGUCUACUGAAGCAGGACCAGAAGGCCGGGGGGCUGGUACAGACAGCAGGCCUUGCUCAGGCUGAGGAAGCACUCCUUGGCAAGCAGUGUAGCUCUUGGGACCUCCCAAACCAGGAGCAGAGGACAGGGCAGGCCUCAGGCAGCCCUCUACUACCUGGCAAAGCACCAUCCCCAUGAUCUCUGGUUGAAUAUCGAUGGAUCACAUCUGUAGUGACCAAAGCAGACCUGCCAGAAAAGGCACUAUGGACCGUAGGCACGCGGGCUGGUAAACCUGGGCCGCCUUGAUUUCUGUUACCCGGACGUGGCCUUGUCUUGCCCUCUCUACAGGUGACUGGUGUACAUGGGAAGUAGAUAUGCUAGCAAUAAACUUUAACAGGUACUUCGGCUGAGGCUGAGGGGCAGUGUUGGCUUGAAGCGUGCUUUGAGGAAGAACAGUAAGGAAGCGCUUACUUGCGUCCGGUGUUGGCUUCAAGGUACAAGCACAUCUGACUGCACAGCAGUCCAGUGAAGAGCCCCAGCAUGGUGAGGUGCCCAUCGUCUGUCUGUGUGCCUGGGCACUAGUCAGGUGGGGUGCCUUAUUGGAAGCAUCCUUGGAGCCCCCCGGGCCUUCUCUCAGUCCUUUUCCCCAAGUCCAGAGCAUUUCUUCUAAUAGCACAUAGCGACAGGCUGAAGAACACUACGUAAAAAAUCAUGUUGUCAGGGUCCCCACUCUUCUCAUGAUAAAUGUAUAAAAGCGUUGAGGGGAUCUGGUAACUGGACUAUGGCUCAUUCGACAGUGUGGGGAAUACCGUCGGUUUUCCACAUCAGCCUUACAUCAGUUCCUCAAAUGCGCCGAGCUCACACCUGCCCGUGGCUGUUGUCCUUGCUGCUUCCUGGACCACUGUCCAUUUGAGGUCAUGGGCAGCCUGACCCGCUACAGACCCACUCGGCGUCUGCCUGCGGCCUCGAUCACACUCUGCCUUUUCCGCUGUUGUCUCCCUUGGUGGCACAUGCUGCUGUUUGAUCGCUUAGUCCUUUGCGAAGUCUGUUGCCUGCCCACCCCCCUAGAGUGGAAGUGUAGUGGAAGCAGGGACCUCGCAGUCCCCCCAGAGUCUGGCUCGGGUCAUUGGCCAGCAAAUUCUGGUUGGAUAAAAGAGCUUCUCUAAAUUGCAACUUGCAUCUCUGGAUUAGCAGAGUUUAGACUGAAACUUUUGUCUGAUUUAUGCUGUGUUUGCAUACAGGUGGACGGUUUUAUUCAGCAGCUUGAGAGUCUCUCUCAGUUUGUUUGUUAUACUCUAACCUCUAAGGUUCAGAUGUCAGAGGUGUCAGGGGUCUCAAACCUUUGAAAGAAAUCACCUUCCACAUGUGAUUUUUCUCCCCAGACGGGGGGAAAGAGAGAGGGAACACGCAGAUGUCAGAGAUUAGAUCAUCUUUUGGCUCAAAGUGUGUCAUGAACCUAAAGGUAACUUGACAGGUUGAAAUGACUCAGCCACAUGAAACCAGGAAGUAGGGAGCAGCACUGGGAUGUGGUGUUGGCAGAAGUAUGAACAGUACAAAUCCAUGGAGGACAGUUGGAUAAUAUCAAUGAAAAGUGCAAAUGCACAAGCUUUCUGAGCCAGCAAUGCUGCCUCUAGGAAUUGUUUCCAUAUAUGAGGAUUUUUACUGCAGCAUUAUUUGGAAUAGCAAAAAGUUGGAAACUACCACCAACGUAGGACAAUGGUUCAAUAAAUUAUUGGUGAAUUCAUACAAUGGGAUGUUAAAUUUAACAGAGUCACACUGUAUGUACUGCCAUGGGAUGAUCCCUAAGGUGCAUGGUUCUUGGUAUAGUAGGGUUUGUUAUUAAAAAUGGGAAGGGGAUGGAGAAAAAUGUGUGUCACUGGGUAUACACGUGUGUGUAUGUGGUGUAGACACGCUCAUCUGUCAUGCAUAUCUGCUUGCAUAUGCCUAGACUGUCUGGGAAGAUACACAGGAACCUGACAGCUUUGGUUGCCUCUGGGAAGAGGGGUGGGAAUUACUUUUCACUGUAUAUCUUUUGUACCUUUUGAAUUUUAUACCAUGUACAUGUAUUAUCUAUUCAGAUAAUAAAGUUUUUAAAUUUUAA